UCUCAUAGGGAACAGAAAGAUUGAAGUCUAGAGCGAUGGAAGAAGGUCAUGUGAUCUGAUGAGUUCAGAUUUACCCUCUUCCAGACUGAUGGGCGCUUCAGGGUAGGAAGGAAGGCAGAAGAAGAGA